CCGAGUUAUACAACUCAUCAACCCUGUGAACAUACCUAAUACGUUGCCUCGGCGGGAAUCAGCCCGCGCCCUGUAACAAAGGGACGGCCCCGCCAGAGGACCCCUAACUCUGUUUUUAUAAGUGUACCUCUGAGUAAACAAGCAAAUAAAUCA
rnacentral:misc_RNA from 1 species